rnacentral:lncRNA from 1 species
ACCUCCACUUAGAGCUCCACCUCAUUCUGGGCUCCUCCUGGCUCUUGAAGCUCCACCUUGCACUGGACUCCCCAUCAGAUAAUAAUGUUCUCUUCUCCCCUUCUUUCCCUCUAGAAUAAUCCUAUCGCCACAUAGCACCUUCAGAAUUUUUUCACCAGCUACUGUCCUAUUGCCUCUCGAAUCCAGUUUGCUCAGUGAGAU